UGUCAUCUUGUUGCUUAAUCAAUUUUUGCCCUUUCACUUUCCUAUUGCAAGGUGUCUUUCAAUGGUGAUCUGAAUGUAUGCAUGUGUUCCUCUAUGUCAUCCUUCUAUUUUCCCUCUACUGAUAUCACUAUUUUCACAUCAAAGUUCACACUAUUUACCAGAGACCCUUUUAAGCUCAAAGGCCUUUCCUGAUUUUUCGAUAAAGAUAUAAUACAGCUAAACUUGCAAAGGCAAUGUCUCAGAGGGUGCAGUGAAGGGCACGAACAAAGCAAAUAACACAUGUGAUGUGUGGACAGAGUACUAUGACAUGGCGUACACUUUUGGUGCUGAUAGCAUGGACUUUGCUGCAUUGUUAUAAGAAAUUGACAGGUGCUUUCUGAAUGAUGCUGAUUAAUAGUCAAAAUGCAGCAUUAUGUAAAUAUUGUAGAUAUCCAACCUAAAUAACACAACCAUGACAACGAACAAAACAACUGCCAACCAUAUUUUAUAUAUAUAUACUAUAUCUAUCCA